CCCCACAUUGGUACUGAGACACGGACCAAACUCCUACGGGAGGCAGCAGUGAGGAAUAUUGGUCAAUGGACGGAAGUCUGAACCAGCCAUGCCGCGUGCAGGAAGACGGCUCUAUGAGUUGUAAACUGCUUUUGUACGAGGGUAAACGCAGAUACGUGUAUCUGCCUGAAAGUAUCGUACGAAUAAGGAUCGGCUAACUCCGUGCCAGCAGCCGCGGUAAUACGGAGGAUCCAAGCGUUAUCCGGAUUUAUUGGGUUUAAAGGGUGCGUAGGCGGUUUAGUAAGUCAGCGGUGAAAUUUUGGUGCUUAACACCAAACGUGCCGUUGAUACUGCUGGGCUAGAGAGUAGUUGCGGUAGGCGGAAUGUAUGGUGUAGCGGUGAAAUGCUU
rnacentral:rRNA from 1 species